rnacentral:rRNA from 1 species
GACGAACGCUGGCGGCGUGCUUAACACAUGCAAGUCGAACGGAAAGGCCUGUCCUUCCUUGUGUUGGACGGGUACUCGAGUGGCGAACGGGUGAGUAACACGUGAGUGAUCUGCCCCCAACUUGGGUAUAAGCCUGGGAAACUGGGUCUAAUUCCCGAUAGGACUGCAGGGUGGUGUCUGUGGUGGCAAACGAUCUUCUAGUGGUUGGGGAUGAGCUCGCGGCCUAUCAGCUUGUUGGUGGGGUAAUGGCCUACCAAGGCGGCGACGGGUAGCCGGCCUGGGAGGGUGGACGGCCACAUUGGGACUGGGAUACGGCCCAGACUCCUACGGGAGGCAGCAGUGGGGAAUAAUGCACAAUGGGCGGAAGCCUGAAGCAGCGACGCCGCGUGGGGGAUGACGGCCUUCGAGUUGUAAACUCCUUGCGACCGCGAGGAAGCCGCCUGGUUGGAAGGGUGGUGACGGUAGUGGUAGAAGAAGCACCGGCUAACUACGUG